rnacentral:lncRNA from 1 species
AAACUGACUGAAAACAAGUGGCUGCCUUCAGCCAGGCAAAGCAGAGACUGAAUGGGUCUUUUCUGCUCCGGCCUGCUCCCAGUUCCACCGCCUCUCCAGGGACCUUCUAAAGUUUGAUUAACUAGAGUGCUAAUUGGCGGAGGCUGCAGACAGAGCCCGAGUAUGGCAAGCAAUCAGUGUUCUGAGUGGGCUGCGGGACUCAGACAGCCUGCGGACAACUCCUGGGAGGAAGGGCCCUCUUAUGAUCUGCCAGGCGAGAGGAACAUGGAUUGACAGAACUUCUGCAGGCGCAUGCGGUCGGGAAAAAUCUUAUGGGAGUAAGGAUUGCAAGGACCAAGCUUCAGUGAGGCGGUGCAUGAAGCAGAAGGAAUCGCUUUAUGUGUGGAAGUCUACGGGCAGAACAGAAUGGGACCAGAGAGGAUCGUUUGAAUUGGCCCAUCCAGAGCCGGAAUUGCGUUUCAGCGAUGGAGAAUAA